GAUGAACGCUGGCGGCGUGCCUAAUACAUGCAAGUCGAGCGAACGGACGAGAAGCUUGCUUCUCUGAUGUUAGCGGCGGACGGGUGAGUAACACGUGGAUAACCUACCUAUAAGACUGGGAUGACUUCGGGAAACCGGAGCUAAUACCGGAUGAUAUUUUGAACCGCAUGGUUCAAAAGUGAAAGACGGUCUUGCUGUCACUUAUAGAUGGAUCCGCGCUGCAUUAGCUAGUUGGUAAGGUAACGGCUUACCAAGGCAACGAUGCAUAGCCGACCUGAGAGGGUGAUCGGCCACACUGGAACUGAGACACGGUCCAGACUCCUACGGGAGUCAGCAGUAGGGAAUCUUCCGCAAUGGGCGAAAGCCUGACGGAGCAACGCCGCGUGAGUGAUGAAGGUCUUCGGAUCGUAAAACUCUGUUAUUAGGGAAGAACAUAUGUGUAAGUAACUGUGCACAUCUUGACGGUACCUAAUCAGAAAGCCACGGCUAACUACGUGC
rnacentral:rRNA from 1 species